rnacentral:rRNA from 1 species
GAUGAACGCUGACAGAAUGCUUAACACAUGCAAGUCAACUUGAAUUUGGGUUUUUAACUUAGGUUUGGGUGGCGGACGGGUGAGUAACGCGUAAAGAACUUGCCUCACAGCUAGGGACAACAUUUGGAAACGAAUGCUAAUACCUAAUAUUAUGAUAAUAGGGCAUCCUAUAAUUAUGAAAGCUAUAAGCGCUGUGAGAGAGCUUUGCGUCCCAUUAGCUAGUUGGAGAGGUAACGGCUCACCAAGGCGAUGAUGGGUAGCCGGUCUGAGAGGGUGAUCGGCCACAAGGGGACUGAGACACGGCCCUUACGCCAACGGGAGGCAGCAGUGGGGAAUAUUGGACAAUGGACCGAGAGUCUGAUCCAGCAAUUCUGUGUGCACAAUGAAGUUUUUCGGAAUGUAAAGUGCUUUCAGUUGGGAAGAAACAAAUGACGGUACCAACAGAAGAAGAGACGGCUAAAUACGUG